AGAGUUUGAUCAUGGCUCAGAUUGAACGCUGGCGGAAUGCUUUACACAUGCAAGUCGAACGGCAGCACGGACUUCGGUCUGGUGGCGAGUGGCGAACGGGUGAGUAACAUAUCGGAACGUAUCCAAUAAUGGGGGAUAACUAAUCGAAAGGUUGGCUAAUACCGCAUACGCCCUACGGGGGAAAGCUAGGGACCUUCGGGCCUGGCGUUAAUGGAGCGGCCGAUAUCUGAUUAGCUAGUUGGUGAGGUAAAGGCUCACCAAGGCGACGAUCAGUAGCUGGUCUGAGAGGACGACCAGCCACACUGGAACUGAGACACGGUCCAGACUCCUACGGGAGGCAGCAGUGGGGAAUUUUGGACAAUGGGCGCAAGCCUGAUCCAGCCAUUCCGCGUGAGUGAAGAAGGCCUUCGGGUUGUAAAGCUCUUUCGCAAGGGAAGAAAACUUAUCCUCUAACAUAGGAUGAGGUUGACGGUACCUUGAUAAGAAGCACCGGCUAACUACGUGCCAGCAGCCGCGGUAAUACGUAGGGUGCGAGCGUUAAUCGGAAUUACUGGGCGUAAAGCGUGCGCAGGCGGCCUUGAAAGUCAGAUGUGAAAUCCCCGAGCUCAACUUGGGAACUGCGUUUGAAACUCCAAGGCUAGAAUAUGUCAGAGGGGGGUAGAAUUCCCACGUGUAGCAGUGAAAUGCGUAGAGAUGUGGAGGAAUACCAAUGGCGAAGCAGCCCCCUGGGAUAAUAUUGACGCUCAUGCACGAAAGCGUGGGGAGCAAACAGGAUUAGAUACCCUGGUAGUCCACGCCCUAAACGAUGUCUACUAGUUGUUGGUGGAGUAAAAUCCAUGAGUAACG
rnacentral:rRNA from 1 species